rnacentral:rRNA from 1 species
AUUGAACGCUGGCGGCAUGCCUUACACAUGCAAGUCGAACGGCAGCAUGGAGAGCUUGCUCUCUGAUGGCGAGUGGCGAACGGGUGAGUAAUGCAUCGGAACGUACCGUGUAAUGGGGGAUAACGUAGCGAAAGUUACGCUAAUACCGCAUACGACCUGAGGGUGAAAGCAGGGGAUCGCAAGACCUUGCGUUAUACGAGCGGCCGAUGUCAGAUUAGCUAGUUGGUGAGGUAAAGGCUCACCAAGGCGACGAUCUGUAGCGGGUCUGAGAGGAUGAUCCGCCACACUGGGACUGAGACACGGCCCAGACUCCUACGGGAGGCAGCAGUGGGGAAUUUUGGACAAUGGGGGCAACCCUGAUCCAGCCAUGCCGCGUGAGUGAAGAAGGCCUUCGGGUUGUAAAGCUCUUUCGGCCGGGAAGAAAUCGCACAGGCUAAUACUCUGUGUGGAUGACGGUACCGGCAUAAGAAGCACCGGCUAACUACGUGCCAGCCGCCGCCGUAAAAC